CUUCCGCCGGACCUGACUGCUAUCGGAUUGAUACUAAGCCAUGCGAGUCAUUGUAGCAAUACAAGGCAUACGGCUCAGUAACGCGUAGUCAACCUAACCUAUGGACGGGAAUAACCUCGGGAAACUGAGAAUAAUGCCCGAUAGAACAUUAUGCCUGGAAUGGUUUAUGUUCCAAAUGAUUUAUCGCCGUAGGAUGGGACUGCGGCCCAUCAGUUUGUUGGUGAGGUAAUGGCCCACCAAGACUAUUACAGGUACGGGCUCUGAGAGGAGUAGCCCGGAGAUGGGUACUGAGACACGGACCCAGGCCCUAUGGGGCGCAGCAGGCGAGAAAACUUUGCAAUGUGCGAAAGCACGACAAGGUUAAUCCGAGUGGUUUCUGCUAAAGAAACCUUUUGUCAGUCCUAGAAACACUGAUGAAUAAAGGGUGGGCAAGUUCUGGUGU
rnacentral:rRNA from 1 species